rnacentral:rRNA from 1 species
UACAGAGGGUGCGAGCGUUAAUCGGAGUUAUUGGGCGUAAAGAGCUCGUAGGCGGUCUGUUGCGUCGGCUGUGAAAACCCGGGGCUCAACUCCGGGCCUGCAGCCGAUACGGGCAGACUAGAGUUCGGUAGGGGAGACUGGAAUUCCUGGUGUAGCGGUGAAAUGCGCAGAUAUCAGGAGGAACACCGGUGGCGAAGGCAGGUCACUGGGCCGCAACUGACGCUGAGGAGCGAAAGCAUGGGGAGCGAACAGG